rnacentral:rRNA from 1 species
UACAGAGGGUGCGAGCGUUGUCCGGAAUCACUGGGCGUAAAGGGCGCGUAGGUGGCGACCCAAGUCUGUGGUGAAAGCUCGCCGCUUAACGGCGAGUCGGCCACGGAUACUGGGUGGCUCGAGCACUGUAGGGGCAGAUGGAAUUCCGGGUGUAGCGGUGGAAUGCGUAGAGAUCCGGAAGAACACCGGUGGCGAAGGCGGUCUGCUGGGCAGUAGCUGACACUGAGGCGCGACAGCGUGGGGAGCAAACAGG